UACGUAGGGGGCAAGCGUUGUCCGGAUUUAUUGGGCGUAAAGAGCGUGUAGGCGGUUUGGUAGGUCCGCUGUGAAAACUCGAGGCUCAACCUCGAGACGCCGGUGGAAACCAUCAGACUAGAGUCCGGAAGAGGAGAGUGGAAUUCCUGGUGUAGCGGUGAAAUGCGUAGAGAUCGGAAAGAACACCAACGGCGAAAGCACUCUGCUGGGCCGACACUGACACUGAGAGACGAAAGCUAGGGGAGCGAAUGGG
rnacentral:rRNA from 1 species